AACGAGCAAAACUCCAAGCUGUUGUUUUGACUCUUUAGCUCUGAUCAGUCAGUACUGUUAAUUCCUCUAUUUCUUGAAUCUAACACAAAAAUACAGUGAUGAGCCUUGCGAGAAACAAAGAGAAAAGAACCAUAUCCCACCUUACUAAGGUGACCUUAGUGUCCUUCCUACAUUGUAGUUUCUGGGGCUGCAGGGGAUGGCUAUCUUGCUACAGAUGUUUGGCGGGUUGCGCCUUUGUGUUUCAACUCUUUGGGAUCUGCAAGAAAUGAGAUUUUCUGCUAUUUUUGAUGAUGUAAGUUCUGUUGCAAUGACCAUCAUCAUGGCCGCAGUAUCAUGCUUCAUUGCUACGAGGAGCAGAUGAUUUUAAAGUUUCAGCUUGAAUUAGACUCUUCACCGUGUAUAUUUUUAUCAUCACCAUAUUCAUGUUAUGGUUUUUAUUUAGUCUGCCAUGUAUGCUUCUUCUAGGUCUUUUAAGCUUUUGUUGUUUUCAUCGUUGUCA